AGCUCCAAUAGCGUAUACUAAUGUUGUUGCAGUUAAAAAGCUCGUAGUCGGAUUUCAGAUUUCUUUUGACAUGCUUUCAAGGCUUGUUACAAGACAUCUUCUUUGACAGAAGGCUUCUUGGUAUUCAAUUACUGAGUUGUACGACUGUCUCUUUUACUUUGAGAAAAUUAGAGUGUUCAAAGCAGGUUCAUCGCCUGAAUAUUACUCUUGGAAUAAUACUAUAGGACUCUGUCUCUAGUUUGUUGGUUUACUGGAGCCGGGGUAAUGAUUAAUAGCGACGGUUGGGGUCAUUCGUACUGCAAAGCGAGAGGUGAAAUUCUUGGACCUUUGUAUGACGAACAACUGCGAAAGCAUUUGACUAGGACGUUCGCG
rnacentral:rRNA from 1 species